GUGUGCUUGUGUGUGUCUGUGUAAAGACAUUAGAAACAUACCAGCACUGAGUCCUGUGAUUGAACAGGAGGAACGUAUCACCCAAGGCCUCUAUUCCAAACCUACUAGGAUACAGAAUGAAGUAGGCCAGGAACCUUAUGAAAGGCCCUAUUAAAAAAAAAAAAUAGGGAUGAAAUCACAGACUGAGGAAUAUACAAGGAGAGCUUGACAAAAGAAUCAGGAGAAAUGUCAGAGUCAGCAUGUACUUUGCUGCAACAACAUCACAUAGGGUUCAUUUUAACCAAUGCCACUUCCCUGCAGGCUUUUGUGCUCUGAGAUGGAGAACAGGAUCGGGGCAUUCCAAUUAUCUAGAUAUGCUUUGACUUACUUUCCUACUUACACCAGCCAUUGAUGAAUCUAAAUCCAAAUGAAGAAGAUUCAAAUUCUAGAAUCAUUUAGCAGGACAUUUUACCUAGAAAUAGAAGGAAAAAUAUCAUCCCUACGACUUUGUAUGACUUUGUUGUAUCUCCCACAAAUCACAUUGUGGAAUUUUUACUGUAUCGAAAGAUUGUUGAAAUUGAUCUUGAAGCAUAGAAAAUUAUAUUUCAAUAUAUGGAGGCUAAACCAGGAGUGAAGAAAAUACGACUGUGGUUGUCUUAGUAGAUUGUGUCUUCUUUUCCCUGUCAUAAUAUUGAAUGUGGUUUGGAAUAAAUGACCAAAUCCACAACUCUGAAAAUAUCUAAAAUGUGUUGGUGCUGUCAUGUCAAACACAGUCUUAGUUAUGCCAUAGUAAUUUUUAAAAUUGAAUUUUCAUAGUUAGCUCACUGAGAUGGGUCCAAGAAUGAAGCAGAGCAUGAAACUUCAUAUAUGGAUAUUUAAGUCAUUUAUAUCCAUGCUGAGAAUAUAUUUACUGUGGUUGACUGACAUCUGUCACUGAAACAGCAGCUAAUUAGAAGGAAAAAAAUUUAAGAAAAAAACAAGCCUGAGUUCUGCUCUAUAAUUUAAGAAGACUCAGCUUCAUCUACAAGUUGUGAUACACAAGUUCAUGAGAAUGAUGGUGCCUUUCAUUUCUGUGGAAUUGAUGCACCACCAGACCAAAGGGAUGCGCAACCAGAAUGGGAGCCGAUGAUGAAUUCUAGCUGGAUGCUAAGCUCAGCCAUGGCACAGAGUCUGAGGCAAAUGAAGCACAAAGCAGAGUGCUCUUUUGAGAUUUACCCUUUGACCUUUGAAGGAGAAGAAGAGAAACUAACAAAUGACAUUUUUUAAAUUUUUUAUUUUUUGAGAUGGAGUCUCUCUCUGUCGCCCAGGCUGGAGUACAAUGGCAUGAUCUCGGCUCACUGCAACCUCACCUCCCUGGGUUCAAGCAAUUCUCCUGCCUCAGCCUCCGGAGUAGCUGGGAUUACAGGUGCCGGCCAUCACACCCAGCUAAUUUUUGUAUUUUUAGUAGAGACAGGGUUUCGCCAUGUUUGCCAGGCUGGUCUCCAACUCCUGACCUUAAGUAAUCCACCGCCUCAGCCUCCCAAAGUGCAGGAAUUACAGGCAUGAGCCACUGCCCCCCAGCCCAAAUGACAUUUAAGGUUAGAUUGGAGCUGAGAGUUUGAACAAACUUCAAAUCUCAGAAUAACAGCAAAAUUUCAGUCACAUUAUGUGGAUUCAGUCACAUUGUGAUCAAAACAGAAGAAAAAGGGUUAACUAUCUACUUGAAGAAAAAAGAUCUUCAUGUAGAGGGAAACAGAGACCAAGAGGAGAUAAAUUGGUUUAAGGAUAUGUCAAUACCUUUUCUUUGAAUGACAAGAAGCUUUUGAUACUACUCUUUCCUCUUGGAAAUUAUCCAAAAAAAUAAUGUUUACUAUUUUCUAGACUGAAGUUUAAGACUUGGUUGGGUUUUAAGGUCUCUAAAGCUAAUAUACAUUUCUUGUUCAUUCAUUUAUUCACCAAAUGGAAAUCUUUAGUUUGCUGCUCUUCUUCUGGGCAAAACUCAAAGUUUUUUCUUUAAUACACAUAUUCUCUUUGGCACACAUAAUUAGGUGGCAUGGAUGGGCUUCACUACCACCCCUGAUGCUAACAGUGCCCUUUAAGAAGCAGCUAUUCAGCCUCCUGGAAAUAGGAUUUUCCUCUUUCUUCCAUGGUAGCAAGUAGAAGAUUUUCUUUCUUCCCUUGAUGGUGUGAUAUGAAGAUAUGGAGCCUGGAACAACUAAACCCAUUAUGCUGCCAAGAGAAGACACCUGGGCCUUGGUGGGUUUGAACCACUGAAUUAAGUCUUCACCAAAAUCAGAACAUCUUCUGGACUUUUAAGUUCCAUGAGUUAAUAAACCCUCUUUAUUGGUUAAGCCUUUUUGGUUCAGGUUUUUUGAGUCAUUUGUUUUCAAGAAUCUUUGCAGAGUCAAAAUAACAUUGUGCCAGUUUCUAGAACUAAGACAGUUAAGACUAUCCUAUGCUUUUAAGAGGCUUCCUUUGUGAUGCAAAUAUGACCUCUGAGCAAGUAAGAGACUGAAGUACUAGAAAAAAAACGUCUGAAUUCAAUUUUUAAAAAGGACAAUUAUAAGAAAGAAAAGGAAGAAACAUUUUGUCAGGGGGCCCGGAUAUAGGAACAGAUAACAAAAGAUUGUUCCACCUGCCUGCCUAGGAGAAACAACAAACCAAAAAGUCAUCUGAAAAUCUGCAACUUUUGAUCUAAAUGCAAAUCAAACCAGUUUCUGUGAAAAGCACUUAAACAUCCAGAAGGCUUGUUGUGCAGAACUGAGAAUUUGGGGAUUGCCCACAGCCUUGAAAAGUACAGAACAUGUUCUUUCCUCCAACAAAUAAUUGGGAACAAGAAGUCUGUCUGGAAUUAAUUCAAUUGGUGUCAAGGGUGAGUUACAAAACCAUCAACAUCUAAGAAAUCAACUGUGUUAUCUUUAUCCUGUGUUUUUAUCCAUAUGAAUAAUUUAAACUAUUAUAAAUAGCAGAUUGAUUGUAUUUUCAGAUCAUAGCUAUAUUUAAUUACAUCUUCUGUCACAUAAAAAAUGGCUAAGAUUUUUAACCUUUCUUUUUCAAGAGUAAAGGCAGCUCCCUGGCAUGACCAGGAAUGGGCCUUUUGUUGAACACAAAAUUGAGAUUUAUGGUGCUGGGUUAUAUAAAGAAAAAGGAAAAUAAAUGUAUUUGUCUUGUGACUAUAAAGAAUGAUUUCUUGUAGAUUUAGCUUUGGACUUCUACAUACAAAAGAGGGAUGUGUGAUGUGGCACAGUAAGACUAAAUCCUAAUGUGUACAAGUCACCUGGAUAUUGUGUUGAAAUGCAGAUGCAGACUUAGGAGAUCUGAGGGAGGGCCUUAGAUCUGCAUUUCCGGUAAGAUCCCCAUUGAUGCUAAUGCAUUUGGGCCUACUGGCCACACUUUAAGAAGCAAGAGUAUAGAAGAAAGAACUAAGGUAUAUAGUAUUCAAGAAGUCUGGCUUUAGUUCCAGUUUCAUCACUAAUUAGCCAUGAGACCUCACCAAUAUCACUUAAAUAUAUUCCUCAUGUAUAAGAUGAUGGGGCUGGACUUAGUCAUCUCAAAAUUCCUGACACAAGAACUGGGAGUGAUGACGUGUGCCUGUAAUUCCAUCUACUCAGGAGGCUGAGGCAGGAGGAUUACUUUCUUUCUUUCUUUUUGAGACUGAGUCUCACUCUUUCGCCCAGGCUGAAGUGCAGUGGUGUGAUCUCGGCUCACUGCAAACUCCACCUCCCCAGUUCAAACAAUUCUCCUGCCCCAGCAUCCUGAAUAGCUGGGACUACAGGUGCCCACCACCACACCUGGC
rnacentral:lncRNA from 1 species